rnacentral:rRNA from 1 species
GCCAGACUCCUACGGGAGGCAGCAGUGGGGAAUAUUGCACAAUGGGGGGAACCCUGAUGCAGCAAUGCCGCGUGAAGGAUGAAGGUUUUCGGAUUGUAAACUUCUUUUGUACGGGACGAAGAAAGUGACGGUACCGUAAGAAUAAGCCACGGCUAACUACGUGCCAGCAGCCGCGGUAAUACGUAGGUGGCAAGCGUUAUCCGGAUUUACUGGGUGUAAAGGGCGAGUAGGCGGGAUUGCAAGUCAGAUGUGAAAACUAUGGGCUCAACCGAGGGAGUGCAUUUGGAACUGUGCUGCUAGAGUGUCGGAGAGGCAGGCGGAAUUCCUAGGGUAGCGGUGAAAUGCGUAGAUAUUAGGAGGAACACCAGUGGCGAAGGCGGCCUGCUGGACGAUGACUGACGUUGAGGCUCGAAAGCGUGGGGAGCAAACAGGAUUAGAUACCCGCGUA